UGAUCGCCUUCUACCAAAAUG
ensembl:piRNA 21ur-3877 ncRNA